AUAAAUUUCAAAUAUUUGGCUUCGCGAUUGCGAUAAAUUAAUCUUACGGUGAGUUUUUUUUUCCUGCUUAUAUGUAAUUCAAUGAAUUGGGAGGAUACAUUUCUACAUUGGAAAUCACUAAACAUAUUCCAGUUUUGAAAUUCAAUUGAAUCUUACACUUAAUUUUCCUAGUUGACAGUUUUAGUUUGUAUGCAUUCCAUUGGAAAUCAUUGUUAGGGAUCAUGUUCAUCAGUUCAUGUGCUGUGUACAACGAUGUAGGAGUUUAUUGAGAUCACUCUCGUGUUUUAGCUGGAUUUUUGUUUAAGUUCUGAUAUGUACAAUAAUGAUCUGCUACAGAAGUAUUUAGAGUUAAAUGGUCACAAAUACACCUAAAUUAUCCCUUUUUUCGAUUUUCAUAUUUGAACUAUCCGAGUUUCCUACAUUAACUAUCACCUACUAUUUAUCAAAACACACCUCAAAUAUCAAUUAUUCACUUUUCCUACCUAAAAUAUCAUUUAUUUAGGAAAAAUGAACUAUUGAUAGUUGAUGUGCAUUUUGAUAAGUAGUUGGUGAUAGGACAGUUAAUAGGAAAUAGUGGAGUAAUCGGUAAAGUUGCUGCCAUGUGACCAGAAGGUCACGGGUUCAAGCCUUGGAAACAGCCUCUGGCAUAAAUGCAAGGUAAGGCUGCGUACAAUACACCCUUGUGGUGGGGCCCUUCCCCGGACACCGCACAUAGCGGUAGCUUUAGUGCACCGGGUUGCCCUUUUGAAGGGGAGCCUUGGAGUAACUGGUAAAGUUGCUGCCGUGUGACCAGGAGGUCACUAGUUUAAGCCUUGGAAACAGCCUCUUGCAGAAAUGCAAGGUAAGGGGGCGUACAAUACACCCUUGUGGUGGGGCCCUUCCCCGGACACCGCACAUAGCGGUAGCUUUAGUGCACCGGGCUGCCCUUUUAUAUACCUAGUUCAAGUAUGAAACUCAACAAAUAAGUAUACUUUAGGAGUAUUUUUGAUCCUUCACUCUAAUAUUUAAUUAUUCAUGCAAUAUAAAACCUUGCUGACAUCAUUAGAAACCAUAUGCAAGCUCUGAACUUCAUUGUUUCUAGUAGAAAGUGCACGUGGAUAGAGCAGAAUGGUUACAAUGAAUCCAUGCGUACUGUGACUAAUUUGGGAUUGAGGCUGCAGAGGUGGAUCUAAAAUUUAAAGUUGAUUGGUUCGACCUUCAAGAUUUUUAAUAAUGAACUCAUUCUGCUAUUGAAAUUACUGAUUCAGAUUUAAUAUUCGUUUAAAAUUUAGUGUUUUUUCACGUGUUAGAAACACUGGGUUUGGUUAAAAAGAUACUGCAUCUUUUGACAGAAAUAUUGCGUAAGGUUGAACCGGCAGGCCACUAUUGACGCAUAGUUCAUUGUAUAGUGGAAACAAAACAUUGUCUUUUAAAUUAGUAGUUAGUAGUUACUUUGAGGAAAUUAAUAAUUAAAACAUCUAGUAUAUCUCUUGCUAAUGAUAGUGCCUACUUGGAAGUUGUCUUGCUAGGAGAAACUAUUUCCAAGUCUUCCUUCUCAAAGUUAGCAGUCGAUCAUGGAAAAUAGAUAUUCUUUCGGUAGGGACAUACUAAUAUUACUAAAGGGGUCCUUAGUAUGUGAUGGACCUGGUUCGGUUGAGUGUUUGGGUUUUGAUGCUAUGGAGUUGUCGCUGAGAAGUUGCUUCUAUGUAUCCACUAAUUAUAGAAUUCCUAAUACAAUAAGAUUACACAUUCUGGACAAACUCUUCCAAUUUAUGAAAAACUUGAAUAGCUAAAAACUUUUCACUUUGUUUUUCUUGAGUACUUUACAACUUUGUAUAACGUGCUGUCUUGGUCGUUUUAUCCUCCUUACUUUGGUGAUGAUGGCUUGGUCUUAGAGGACUUACCAGUGAUAGCUUUCGUCACCUUUGCAAUUGAGUGCUUGACUUUUGAUCCAACGCCUGACAAUAUGUUCUGAUGUUUCUUGUGUUGAACUUUAAUAUCAGCAUCUCGUGAGAUUUCUACAAUCACUGUAUCUUCAGAACUUGACCGUUCUCUUGUCUGUUGAAUUCCUUCCUCUUCUCUAUCAUUGUCUUCUCUUUCUUCAGCAAAGUUUUCCUCCAUUUUUGAUGUCUCUUUAACUGGUACAUGCAUAAGGUCAGAAACCUUAGCUUGCGUCUCUCUUGAUCUCGAUUCCUCUGGUGCUUCUUUUGAAUUACAUUCCAAUUCUUUCUCGUUUUUGUAAUUUUCUUGACUUUUGGCCUCUGCACCCAGUUGCACAUAUGGGGUAAUGCUGUCUUUGGGCGUACCAUUGACGCCAGUGCUGCUUGUUGGAACAGUUUCCUCCCUCUCUAAUGUAAGUAGAGGAUAUGCUGCUUGAUCUUGUAGCUGCUUAGUUGCAUUGCUUUCACUGCUCACCAUGUUAUCCAUUGCUAUCUCCUUUUCCGGAACCUUAACAGAUGUCAAUGAUGUCAAAUGUUCUGUUAUUUCUUCUUGCUCAUUCCUUGUUUUUUCCUCUUGUUCACCUCCUACUUGGGUAAUUGGAGCAUUUUCAGUCUUUAAUUCUUCUUUCUGUGUUUCUUUUGUUUCAUCGCAUGUUAUCAUCUCUCCGAAACCUGCUGCUGUUUUUCUUUCUGAUCCAAAAGGUUCCAAACUUCCUCUUUCAGGUUCACUUGUUGUUGUUCCCUGCUCUUGCUGUACCUGUGUUGUGCUGUUGUUUGAGGAAUCUUGGCCGGUGCUCUCUCUUAAGUCUUCUUCUUGUUCCUCCUAUGAGUUCAUAUCUUACCGUCAGAAAUCUUGAUUGAAUUGUUGCGCGAGUAAAUAGGGGAGACAGAGGGGUGUAUGAAAAGAUUGGAAUAAUGUAUUUUGCUUCUAUUUUUUUAGCUUUUUUCCUCACUGUUUAUAGUCUAGAUCCAGUUUUAUAAUUCAGAAUUAUGAUUUCUUGUAGCAGAUUGCAAAUCGGCAUUUAUGUUAUACUCUGCCUGUGUAUAUGAAAUGUUUCAUGCAGUUGACCAUGCAUAAUGUUUUCACGGCAACAUCUUUUCAAUCCCCUCUUUGCACGAGAAUACAAAAACUGAAAAUAAUAUAUAGUCAUCUAGAGAUUUGUGACCUUAACUAACUUGGAGUUGUGGCUUAGAUGUUGUCAUCGUUGUUGUUCUGAAAUAUUGUGCAGCAGGAGAACCAAAUUUCUAGGUUCAUAAACAUGCAAUAAACUCAUAGAUUCUCAGUAGAUGCUAAUCAGCUAACGUUGUAAGUUCUUGUUCAUUUACCUUGUUAGUAUUGUCCUCCACCCUCAUUUCUUCUGAAGAAAGUUCAAUUGCGUUCUCCACUCCACGCACGUCUUUAACCUCUUCUGUGGUUAGGUUGGCUUUUUGAAGGUUCUGCAGAAUAAAAAAAGAGCGAUACAGUGAUUUAGAAGAAAGAGAAAGCAUUUCUAUUUUAGCUUGGGGUUAGAUAUAUGAAUUGGAAACAGCCUUGUGUGGUCGCUUAACCUCUUGAUUGGGGGUUUCUGAAACCACUUUGCAUUCUUUAGAGUUAUUUGUCACCAUCUCUUCUUUGGCGGAUGUUAGAAGCUCGUCUAAGCUCCUUUCUUCUUUUUGUAGGACAUUCUUAUUUGUCCCAUCAUCAGCAUUGAUAUCUUUAAGUUCUUUUAUCUGUUUGGAUUGAUAGGUUUUGUUAUGACUAGUUUAGGCACAUGAAAGAAUAUCAAAAUAUUGGUAGAAGGAAGCCACUUAAUACCUCAAUUUCAACUUCUUUGCAAGGUCUCAUUGUUUCUUUGACUAACAGUUCUGCCUGUUUUCCAAUUAAAGCUUCUUCUUUCUCUGUUAAUUGUGUUUCAGAUUCAUCAAUUCUUUCAAUGACAGCUUCUUCCCUGUUUUGUUCUUUGAGUUCUUCUCCAAGUGGGUGUUCUUUAGGUUUCUCGUCAAUCAUUGGUUCUUCAAGUUUCUCUUUAACAACUAGUUCUUCAGAUUUCUCUUCAACUGGUAGAUUCUCGGGUUCUUCUUCAACUGCUGGUUCUUCAAAUUUUUCAGCUGCCGAUUCGUCAGGCUUUUCUUCAACUGAUGGUUCUUCAUGUUUUUCAUCGAAUGUUGGUUCUUCAACUGUAGAUUCUUCAGAUUUCUCCUCAACUGUUGGUUCCUCAGGUUUUUGGUCAACUACUGGUUCUUGAGGUUUAUCUUCAAUUGCUGGUUCUUCAGGUUUCUUUUCUAGUUCUUCACGUGUCUCUUUAACCACUGGAUCUUCAGGUGUUUCUUUCACCUCUUGUUUUUUGUGUUUCUCCUCAAUUGCUGGUUCUUGGGGUUUCUCUUCAAAUGUUUCUGCAAUUGCCAAUUUCUGAGGUUUCUCCUUUAUUGCUGGUUCUUCAGGUUUAUCCUCAACAAUUGGUUCUUCAAGCUUUUCCUCAACCAUUGGUUCUUCAAUUUUUUCCUCAACCAUUGGUUCUUCAGGUUUUUCCUCAACUCCUGGUUCUUCAGGUUUUUUCUCAACUGCUGGAUAGUCAACAACAUCAUUGUUGGUAUUGCAUGGAGUCUGAGUGUCAGACUUCCCGUUUGAAUCUAUAACUGACAUAUUCUGUAAGAAAAAUUUGAAGUUUCACUUAGUCUUCCAAUAGAUAAACAGAUGUGAAUUGUUGCACAUUCAGAGCUAAUAGUACAGGUAAAACUUGUGAGUACUUGAUCCUCACCUCUUCCAACAAAGUUACCUUUUCAGGCUUCGCUUCAACUUCAACUGCUAGUUUUUCAAGGUUCUUUUCAAUUGCUAGAUCUUUAGUUGUUUCUUCAACUGCUGGUUCUUCAGGUUUCUCUUCAAAUGUUAGUUCUUCAAGUGUUUCUUUCCAUGCUGGUCCUGCAAGUGUUUUUUCAACUACAAGCUCUUCAGAUUUCUCUUCAACUGUUGGUUCUUCAAGUUUCUCCUUGAAAACUGGUUCUUCAGUUUGUUUUUCCACUUCUGGUUCUUCAAGUUUCUCUUCAAUCACUUGUUUUUCAUGUUUUUCUUCAACUUCCAGUUCUUCAGCUGUUGGACAGUCAGCAACACCAUUGUUGGAAUUGCCUGGAAUUUCACUGUCAAUCUUGUCCUUUGAGUCUAUAAUUGACAUAUUCUGCAAGAAAAGUUUAAAAUUAGAUUUAAUAUUCAAUAGAUUGACAUAUGUGAGUGUGUUACACAUAUAAAGCUAUUAGAAUGGAUAAACUGUGACACUGUUUAAUCCUCACCUUCUCUAGGAGAGCUUCCGUUUCUAGUUUCUGCUCUUCAAUUACUGGGUUGUCGUGUUUCUCUUUAACAACUAGCUCUUCAAAGGUCUUUUCAACCAUUGGUUCUUCAGGUUUCUCUUCAAGUGCUAGCUCUCCAAGUGUUUCCUCCCCUGCUAGCUCUUCAUGUGUUUCUUUAGCUGUUGGUUCUUCAAGUUUUUCUUCAACAGUUGGUUCUUGAGGUUUCUCCUCAGCUGGUUUUUCAUAUUUCUCCUUAAUUGCUAGUGUAUCAAGUUUCUCUUCAAUAACUGGUCCUUCAGGUUUUUCUACAACUGCUGGUUCUUCAGGGUCUUUCUCAACUUCUUGAAAGUGAGCAUCAUCAUCGUUAGUAUUGCAUGGAAUUUCACAGUCAGUUUUGUCCUUUGAGUCCGCAACUAGCAAAUUCUGCAAGAAGAAUUAAAAGUUUCACUUAGUCUUUUAGUAGAUAAAGCAGAUGUGAAUCAUUGCACAUACAUAAAUAAUAGGAUGGAUAAACUUAUGACAGUGCUUGACCCUCGCCUUAUCCAAAAGAGUUACCUUUUCAAGUUUCUCCUCUUCAACUGUUGGGUUUUCAGGUUUCUCCUCUUCAACUACUGGUUUGUCAGUUUUUUCUUCAAAUGCUAGUUCAUUAGGUGUUUCUUCCCGUUUUGAUUCCUUGAGUGUUUCUUCAGUUUUUGGUUUUUCAGGUUUCUCUUCAACCAUUGGUUCUUCAAGUUUCUCCUCCACAGUUGUUUUUUCAUGUUUCUCUUCAACUGCCAGAUCUUCAAGUUCUCUCUCAACUGUUGGUUCUUCAGGCUUCUCCAUAACCGCCAAUACUUCAGGCUUCUCUUCAAUUGUUGUUUCUUCAUGUUCUUUUUCAACUACUGGUUCUUGAGAUUUUUCCUUGACUGAUUCAUAGUCAGCAAUAUCAUUGGUGGUAUUGCAUGACAUUACAUAAUCUAUCUUGUCCUUUGAGUCUACAAUUGGAAAAUGCUGCAAGAAAAUUUAAAAGUUUUACUUAGUCUUUCAACAGAUAAACAUAUGUAAAUCCGUUGCACAUAUAAAGCUAAUAUGAUGGAUAAAUUUUGUGACAAUGUUUAAUUCUGACCUUCUCUAGAAGAGCUCCGGUUUCAGGUUUCUCCACUUCAACAACUAGUUCUUUAGGUGUCUUUUCAACCGUUGCUUCUUCAGGUUUCUCUUCAAGUGCUAGUUCUUCAGCUGUUUCCUCCCCCUCUAACUCUUCAGGUGUUUUUUUAGCUGUUCGUUCUUCAGAUUUCUCUUCAGCCGCAGGUUCUUGAGGUUUCUCUUCAAAUGGUAAUUCAAAUUUCUCCUCAACCGAUGGUUCUUCAAAUUUCUCUUGAAUAACUGGUUCUUCAGGUUUUUCUUCAACUGCUGAUUCUUCAAGAUUUUCUUCAACAUUUAAAGAUUGAGCAACAUCAUUACUGGUAUUGCAUGGAAUUUCACUGCCAUUUUUGCUGUUCAAGUCUACAACUAGCAUAUUCUGCAAAAGAGUUUAAUGUUUCACUUAGUCUUUCAAUAAAGAAGCAGACGUGAAUCAUUUCACAUACAUAACUAAUAAUAUGGAUAGCUAAUAAUAUGGAUUAACUUUUAUGACAGAUUUUCCACAAGAGCUACCUUUUCAGGUUUCUCCUCUUCAAGUGAUGGUUUCUCUUCAAAUGAUAGUUCAUUAGGCGUUUCUUCCUGUGUUGGUUUUUCAUGUGCUUCUUCAGUUACUGGUUUUUCAGGUUUCUCCUUAGUUGUUGGUUCUUCGCUUGUCUCCUCAGCUGAUUGUUCUUCAAGCUUCUCUCCUGUUGUUGAUUUUUCUGGUUUCUCUUCAAUUAUCGGUGGUUCAGGUUUUUUCUCAACCGGUGAUUCUUCUGGUUUCUCCAAAACCAUUGAUUCUUCAUGUUUUUUUUCAACUACUGACUCUUCAGUGUUUUCCUCAACUGAUGCAUAGUCAGCAAUAUCGUUGUUGGUAUUGCUUGGAAUUGCAUUGUCUAUCUUGUCCUUUGAGUUUACUUUUGGCAUAUUCUGCAAUGAAGUUUCACGUAGUCUUUCAAUAGAUAAACAAAUGUAAAUUUGUUGCACAUAUAAAAGCUAAUAUGAUGGAUAAAAUUUGUGCCAGUGUUUAAUCCUCACCUUCUCCUGAAGAGCUUCCGCUUCAAGUUCCUCCUCUUCAAUUGCAGGUUUUUCAUCUUUCUCUCCAACAACUAGUUCUUCAGGUUUCUCUUCAAGUGCCAGUUCUUCAGGUGUUUCCUCCUUUGCCAGCUCUUCAGGUGUUUCCUCCUUUGCCAGCUCUUCAGGUGUUUCUUUAGCUGCCGGUUCUUCAGGUUUCUCUUCAACCUCCGGUUCUUGUGGUAUUUCCUCUACUUGUACUUCAGAUUUCUCCUCAAUUGUUGGUUCUUCAGGUUUCUCUCUAACCGCUGCUGCAUUAGGUUUCUCUUCAUUGGCUGGUUCUUCAGGUUUUUCUUCAACUACCGAUUCUUCAGGAUUUUCCUCAAUGUUUGGAAAGGGAGCGACAUCAUUAUUGGUAUUGCAUGGAAUUUCACUGCCAGUUUUGUCAUUCAAGUCCACAACUAGUAUAUUCUGCAAAAGAGUUUAAUGUUUCACUUAGUCUUUCAAUAAAGAAGCAGAUGCGAAUCAUUACAUAUACAUAACUAAUAACAUGGAUAAACUUUAUGACAGUAGUUGACCCUUACCUUUUCCACAAGAGUUACUUUUGCAGGUUUCUCCUCUUCAAGUGCUGGUUUCUCUUCAAAUGAUAGUUCAUUAGGUGUUUCUUCCCGUGUUGGUUCUUCAUGUGCUUCUUCAGUUACUGGUUUUUCAGGUUUCUCCUCAAUUGUUGGUUCUUCGCUUGUCUUCUCAACUGAUGGUUCCUCAUGCUUCUCUCCCGUUGUUGAUUUUUCGGGUUUCUCUUCAGUUGUCGAUGGUUCAGUUUUUUUCUCAACCGCUGGUUCUUUUGGCUUCUCCAAAACCAUUUCCGAUUUCUCUUCAGUUGGUGGUUCUUCAUGGUUUUUUUCAACUACUGGUUCUUCUCUUUUUUCCUCAACUGAUGCAUAGUCAGCAAUAUCGUUGUUGGUAUUGCUUGGAAUUGCAUUGUCUGUCUUGUCCUUUGAGCUUACAAUUGGCAUAUUCUGCUAGAAAAAUAUAAAGUUUCAUGUAGUCUUUCAACAGAGAAACCAAUGUAAAUUUGUUGCACAUAUAAAGCUAACAAAUAUGAUGGAUAGACUUUGCGAGAGUGUUUAAUACUCACCUUCUCCGGAAGAGCUUCCGUUUCAGGUUCCUCUUCAAUUUCUGCUUUUUCAUCUUUCUCUUCAACAACUAGUUCUUCAGGUGUCUCUUCAACCGUUGAUUCUUCAGGUUUCUCUUCAAGUGUUAGUUCUUGAGGUGUUUCCUCCUUUGCUAGCUCUUCAGGUGUUUCUGUAACUGCCGGUUCUUCAGGUUCCUCUUCAGCCACCGGCUGUUGACGUAUCUCCUCUACUUGUACUUCAGAUUUCUCCUCAAUUGUUGGUUCUUCAGGUUUCUCCUUAACCGCUGGUACAUCAGGUUUAUCCUCAUUGACUGGUUCUUCAACUGCUGAUUCUUCUAGAUUUUCCUCAAUGUCUGGAAAGCGAGCAACAUCAUUAUUGGUAUUGCAUGGAAUUUCAUUUCCAGUUUCGUUAUUCGAGUCUACAAUUAGCAUAUUCUGCAAAAAGAAUUUAAUGUUUCAUUUAGCCUUUCAAUAAAGAAGCAUAUGCGAAUAACAGUACAUGCAUAACUAACAAAAUGGAUAAACUUUGUGAUAGUGCUUGAUCCUUACCUUUGCCAAAAGAGUUACCUUUUCAGGUUUCUCCUCUUCAACGGUUGGUUCUUCAUGUUUCUUUUCAAAUGCUAGUUCCUUGGUUGUUUCUUCCGGUGUUGGUUCCAUAGGUGUUUCUUCAGUUACUUGUUUUUCGGGUUUCUCUUCAAUUAUUGGUUCUUCGAUUGUCUUCUCAACUGAUGGUUCUUCAAGAUUUUCUCCCACUGUUGGUUUUUGGGGUUUCUCUUCUAUUGUUGGUUGUUCAGGAAUUUUCUCAACUGGUGGUUCUGCUGGAUAUUCCAAAACCAUUGAUUCUUCAGAUUUCUCUUCAAUUGAUGGUUCUUCAUGGGUUUUUUCAACUACUGGUUCUUCAAUUUUUUCCUCAACAGAUGCAUAGUCAACAAUAUCAUUAUUGGUAUUGCUUGGAAUUGCAUCGUCUGUCAUGUCCUUUGAGUUUACUUUUGGCAUAUUCUGCAAUAGAGUUUCAUGUAAUCUUUCAACAGAUAAACAGAUGUAAAUUUGUUGCACAUAUAAAGCUAAUAUGGUGGAUAAACUUUGUGACAGUGUUUAAUCCUCACCUUCUCCUGAAGAUCUUCCGCUUCAAGUUCCUCCUCUACAAUUGCAGUUUUUUCCUCUUCCCCUUCAACAACUAGUUCUUCAGGUGCCUCUUCAGCCGUUGAUUCUUCAGGUUUCUCUUCAAGUGCUAGUUCUUCAGGUGUUUCCUCCUUUGCCAGCUCUUCAGGUGUUUCUUUAGAUGCCGAUUCUUCAGGUUUCUCUUCAGCCAUCGGUUCUUGAGGUAUUUCCUCUACUUGUACUUCAUAUUUCUCCUCAAUUGUUUGUUCUUCAGGUUUCUCUUCAGGUUUCUCCUUAACCACUGGUACAUCAGGUUUCUCUUGAUUAACUGGUUCUUUGGGUUUUUCUUCAACAGCCGAAUCUUCAGGAUUUUCCUCAAUGUCUUGAAAGCAAGCAAUAUCUUUAGUGGUAUUGCAUGGAAUUUCACUGCCAGUUUUGUUGUUCGAGUCUACAAUUAGCAUAUUCUGCAAAAGGAAUUUGAUGUUUCAUUUAGCCUUUUAAUAAAGAAGCAGAUGUGAAUAACAUUACAUGCAUAACUUACAAAAUGGAUAAAUUUUGUGACAGUCCUUGACCCUUACCUUUUCAGGUUUCUCCUCUUCAACAGCUGAUUCUUCAUGUUUCUCUUCAAAUGCUAGUUCUCUGGGUGUUUCUUCCCGUAGUGCUUCUUCAUGUGCUUCUUCAGUUACUGGUUUUUCAGGUUUCUCCUCAAUUGUUGGUUCUUUGAUUGUCUCCUCAACAGAUGGUUCUUCAAGCUUCUCUCCCGUUGUUGAUUUUUCUGGUUUCUCUUCAAUUGCUGGUUGUUCAGGAAUUUUCUCAACAGCUGGUUCUUCUGGCUUCUCUAAAACCAUUGAUUCUUCAGCUUUCUCUUCAAUUGAUGGUUCUUCAUGGUUUUUUUCAACUAUUGGUUCUUCAGUUUUUUCCUCAACGGAUGCAUAGUCAACAAUAUCAUUGUUGGUAUUGCUUGGAAUUGCAUCGUCUGUCAUGUCCUUUGAGUUUACUUUUGGCAUAUUCUACAAUAAAGUUUCAUGUAGUCUUUCAAUAGAUAAACAGAUGUAAAUUUGUUGCAACAUAUAAAGCUAAUAUGGUGGAUAAACUUUGUGACAGUGUUUAAUCCUCACCUUCUCCCGAAGAUCUUCCGCUUUAAGUUCCUCCUCUUCAAUUGCUGUUUUUUCAUCUUUCGUUUCAACAACUAGUUCUUCAGGUGCCUCUUCAGCCGUUGAUUCUUCAGGUUUUUCUUCAAGUGCCAGCUCUUCAGGUGUUUCCUCCUUUGCCAUCUCUUCAGGUGUUUCCUCCUUUGCCAGCUCUUCAGGUGUUUCUUUAGCUGCUGGUUCUUCAGGUUUCUCUUCAGCCGCCAGUUCUUGAGGUAUCUCCUUUUCUACUUCAGAUUUCUCCUCAACUGUUGGUUCUUCAGGUUUCUCUUCAUUAACUGGUUCUUUGGGUUUUUCUUCAACAGCCGAAUCUUCAGGAUUUUCCUCAAUGUCUGGAAAGUGAGCAACAUCUUUAUUGGUAUUGCAUGCAAUUUCACUGUCAGUUUUGUCGUUCAAGUCUACAAUUAGCAUAUUCUGCAAAAAGAAUUUGAUGUUUCAUUUAGCCUAUUAAUAAAGAAGCAGAUGUGAAUAACAUUACAUGCAUAACUUACAAAAUGGAUAAACUUUGUGAUGGUCCUUGACCCUUACCUUUCCAGGCUUCUCCUCUUCAACGGCCAGUUCUUGUUUCUCUUCAAAUGCUAGUUCCCUGGGUGUUUCUUCCUGUAUUGGUUCUUCAUGUGCUUCUUCAGGUACUGGUUUUUCAGGUUUCUCCUCAAUUGUUGGUUCUUCGAUUGUCUCCUCAACAGAUGGUUCUUCAAGGUUCUCUCCCGUUGUUGAGUCUUCUGGUUUCUCUUCAAUUGCUGGUUGUUCAGAAAUUUUCUCAACAGCUGGUUCUUCUGGCUUCUCCAAAACCAUUGAUUCUUCAGCUUUCUCUUCAAUUAAAGGUUCUUCAUGGUUUUUUUCAACUACUGUUUCUUCAGUUUUUUCCUCAACGGAUGCAUAGUCAACAACAUCAUUGUUGGUAUUGCUUGGAAUUGCAUCGUCUGUCAUGUCCUUUGAGCUUACUUUUGGCAUAUUCUGCAAUAAAGUUUCAUGUAGUCUUUCAAUAGAUAAACAGAUGUAAAUUUGUUGCACAUAUAAAGCCAAUAUGGUGGAUACACUUUGUGACAGUGUUUAAUCCUCACCUUCUCCUGAAGAUCUUCCGCUUCAAGUUCUUCCUCUUCAAUUGCUGUUUUUUCAUCUCUCUCUUCAACAACUUGUUCUUCAGGUGCCUCUUCAGCCGUUGAUUCUUCAGGUUUCUCUUCAAGCACUAGUUCUUCAGGUGUUUCCUCCUUUGCCAGCUCUUCAGGUGUUUCUUUAGCUGCCAGUUCUUCAGGUUUCUCUUCAGCUGCCGAUUCUUGAGGUAUUUCCUUUACCUGUACUUUAGAUUUCUCCUCAAAUGUUGGUUCUUCAG
rnacentral:lncRNA from 1 species